CACCGACAUCAUGGCUUCGUUUUUCGAGCCCUGGCCAACGGCAAGGUAAGAGGUCAUGCCCAGUUCCUGCAUUUCCUGCUCGCCGAUGAUCUUGGUGGUGAUAGUGUCGAAAUCGUCAGCCAGGCGGCGGGCCUGAGAAGCCAGGUACGCCGGGUUAGCAACGUUUGGUGGCAUAUUACCCAGGUCUUUACC
rnacentral:antisense_RNA from 1 species